AAGUCGUAACAAGGUUUCCGUAGGUGAACCUGCGGAAGGAUCAUUAAAAAAGUUAAACCUAUCGUUAUGGGUUCUUAACUCAUAUCAACCUUGUGUGCACCUAAAUCUGAACCUGGUAGUUCUUAGCUUUUUGGUUAAGACUUGACUAGGACUUGCUUGAGAUUGAAUUCGGACUUAAGUUGGUGGUUAACUUACUAGUUAAGUUACUUAAGACUCUAGUUCGAGUUGAGAAUUUCGAGUAGGACUUGGUUAAGUUUUGCUGUUAAGCUACCUACCAAACUUGUUAAACCUUUUGAUAUUUUCUUUAAGAAUUUUCUUAAGUCUUAGUACUUAAUAAGUUACAACUUUUGGCAACGGAUCUCUUGGCUCUC
rnacentral:misc_RNA from 1 species